rnacentral:misc_RNA from 1 species
GAGAGAGAGAGAGAGAGAGGGUAAAUAAUAAGGAAAAUUACUAUUUAGUUAUAUAUUUUGCUUUCGUUAAAUUGUUUAGUCCCUCCAUCAAUUUUUCCGUCAGUCAACAAAAUUUAAUGCCAAUCAAAUCACUAUUUAGUCCCUCUAUUUUAAUAAAACUAAUUACUUGAUCUUUGUAUUCUGAAAAACACAUUAGUUAGUCUCUGUAAUUUAGU